UAUAAUUUUACUUUAUAUUAGAAUUAUAUUUUUAAAUAAUUAUUUAUUAUAGAGUAAUUUGCGGCAUAAAUACCUAAGUUUAUAUUUUAGUUGCAGAUUAAUACUUAAGUUAAAAUUUUGGCGGUAAAAAUACCUUCGGUCAUAUUUUUGGAACUUCCGUAAGUACCUGGCCGUUAAGUGCCAGGUCAGCCCCAGAUGUCAGUCACUCAUUGCUCCAAAUCAUUUAAUUUUUUUUUUUAAAAUAAAAAUCAUUUUAAGUAUGUAAAAAUAAUAAAAAAAAAUAAAAAAUAAAACUGAAUUAUAUAAAAAAAUAUCAAGAUCAAAACAAACCUUUGAAAAAAAAAAUCAAAACAAACCUAAAUCUAAUUUCUUUGUCUACUGAGUUCAAAAGAAAAAAAAAUUGCUUCGUCUACCUCGGCACCGACGGACGAGAGGGAGAGCCUUCAUCGCCCUGAGUUUUUGACUUCUCUCGAGCCUUUUUGGAAGAACCACCACGAGCAUCAAGGAACCCCAAAAAGUUUGGUUCUCCCUUUCUUUCUCGACUUCUCUCUCUCUAUUUUCUUUGCGCAGAGACAGAGAGCAACUCCGGCAGUCUAUGGCCCUCGAGUUCUCUCUAUUCCCUCUCUCCUCUCUUUCUCGACCUCUCUCUGCUCAGAGCCAAACUGAACAACUCCGAACUUCACCACCUUGAAAACCCCUAGAUCUAUAUCUCUGCCUCUCUUUCUCUCUCCCUUGGGAUCCUUCUCUUUGUUUCUCUCUGUGCAAACUGACAUAGAUUUGGCUAAGGUCUUGGCGGAGAUUUGGGCAUCGACGGGAGUCAUCGGAUUUCUCUUCUUCCAGGGUCCGACUAGUGUGUUUCUGGCUUUUGGUUUUCCUGGGGUGCGACUGGUGUGUGAUCCUUCUAGGGUGGUUUUCUUGGGGUGCAACUGGUGCUACUGGUUUGGUGUUUGUUCCUGGGGUGUGGCUUUCCUGGAGUAUACGACUGGUUUGGCAUUCGUUUGUCUUACUAGUUUGUCUUUAUGGUAUAUAUAUUCAUUCUUUGUUUUUGGGGUUGUCAUUGAUUAUGAAGGAGUGAUUUUUUUUUCAUA